UGCCAGCAGCCGCGGUAAUACGUAGGGUCCGAGCGUUGUCCGGAAUUACUGGGCGUAAAGAGCUCGUAGGUGGUUUGUCGCGUUGUUCGUGAAAACUCACAGCUUAACUGUGGGCGUGCGGGCGAUACGGGCAGACUAGAGUACUGCAGGGGAGACUGGAAUUCCUGGUGUAGCGGUGGAAUGCGCAGAUAUCAGGAGGAACACCGGUGGCGAAGGCGGGUCUCUGGGCAGUAACUGACGCUGAGGAGCGAAGGCGUGGGGAGCGAACAGGAUUAGAUACCCUGGUAGUCC
rnacentral:rRNA from 1 species